CCUACGGGUGGCACCAGUAGGGAAUCUUCGGCAAUGGACGAAAGUCUGACCGAGCAACGCCGCGUGAGUGAAGAAGGUUUUCGGAUCGUAAAACUCUGUUGUUAGAGAAGAACAAGUAGGAGAGUAACUGCUCUUACCUUGACGGUAUCUAACCAGAAAGCCACGGCUAACUACGUGCCAGCAGCCGCGGUAAUACGUAGGUGGUAAGCGUUGUCCGGAUUUAUUGGGCGUAAAGCGAGCGCAGGCGGUCUUUUAAGUCUGAUGUGAAAGCCCUCGGCUCAACCGAGGAAGGUCAUUGGAAACUGGAGGACUUGAGUGCAGAAGAGGAGAGUGGAAUUCCAUGUGUAGCGGUGAAAUGCGUAGAUAUAUGGAGGAACACCAGUGGCGAAGGCGACUCUCUGGUCUGUAACUGACGCUCAGGUGCGAAAGCGUGGGGAGCAAACAGGAUUAGAUACCCCGGUAGUC
rnacentral:rRNA from 1 species